UAGCCCGGCUGUAAAUAUGCGCGGCCGAGGCUGUAAUCAUCUGCAUAUUAUGAAGAGGAAAACAUCAUGGCACUGAGUGCUGCUGAAAAAGCUGGAAUCGUAGCGAAAUACCAAAAAGUUGCU
rfam:Cellvibrio japonicus Teda107, complete genome.